GCGCCCGUAGCUCAGCUGGAUAGAGCACUAGCCUCCGGAGCUAGGGGUCGCAGGUUCGAAUCCUGUCGGGCGCACCA
rnacentral:tRNA from 1 species